CCAAGAUUGCUCACCUGGUCUCCAGGUUUUCCAGCCUCUCCCGGGGAACCAGAUGGUCCAGGAAGACCCUGUUUGACAAAAAGUUUGGUCAUUUAUCUGCAGGUCCCUGAGAUAGAACAUAAAAAUGUUACAUCGAAGAACUCAAGUGAGGUCAUCUUGGUGAGCGUAGAACGAGACUUACAGCAGGGCCAGGUGGUCCAGCAGAUCCGGUCUCACCAUCUUUUCCAGGUUUCAUUGGAGAAAGAGAACUUACUCUCAGACCAGUACGACCCAGAAGACCUUUCUCUCCAGCCUUUCCAGGCUCACCCUGUUGAGCAGAAACCAAUCAGCUAUGGACUCCAUCCAUAAAGAUUCGCCAAACUAUGUCCUAACUAUCAUACAUUAGCUCCUUUUGGUCCGGGGAAUCCCAUCACUCCUGGCUGUCCUCUGGCUCCCUGAGGACCGGGUGGGCCGGGGCGACCAUCCUCACCAGCGGCACCCUAUAAUGCACAAAAAAAAAUACCACUCUAAAUAUUGUUGCUUUAAAGCA